rnacentral:tRNA from 1 species
CAUUGUGAAGCUCAAGGCGUUAACCUUUUAAGUUAAAAUUAGAGAGCAAGUUGCUCUCCAUAAUGA